GAUGAAGAACGCAGCGAAAUGCGAUAAGUAAUGUGAAUUGCAGAAUUCAGUGAAUCAUCGAAUCUUUGAACGCACAUUGCGCCCAUUAGUAUUCUAGUGGGCAUGUCUGUUCGAGCGUCAUUAAUUCCACUUAAGCCCUGCUUAGUGUUGGGAAUCUACUCUAGUGGUGCUACCCUGGAGCUACCCCUGAAAGGGGGCUGGCCCGGUAGUUACCCUGUAGUUCCUCAAAGAUAGUGCGCGGAGUUGCGUGGUCCUCUGAGCUUAGUAACUAUACACCUAGCUUUUGAGUGUCCCGCGGCGCCUGCCGUUUAAACCCCAUCUUUUAAUGGUUGACCUCGGAUCAGGUAGGAAUACCCGCUGAACUUAAGCAUAUCAAUAAGCGGAGGA
rnacentral:misc_RNA from 1 species